UUAGAAGCUGCGAAAUGGUUGUUGUGAGGAGCUGCAUGGAGUUUGAACCAGAAUGGUUACAACUACUAGAGGACAUCCAUGGGAAACCGUUUAUACCAGUUGGUAUGCUUCCCACCACAGAAUAUGAUAACGAUGAGCAAAUAGACACGUGGAGGUCAAUCAAACAGUGGCUAGACAAACAGGAGAAAAGAUCUGUAGUGUAUAUAGCAUUUGGUAGUGAGGCGAAACCGAGCCAAGAAGAGCUUACUGAGAUUGCUCUUGGGUUAGAGUUAUCUGGGUUGCCAUUCUUUUGGGUGUUGAGAAUGCGUCGUGGCUUAGCUGAUACUGAGGUUCUGGAAUUACCAGAUGGGUUUGAGGAGCGAACCAAAGGACGUGGUGUGGUGUGCAUUAGUUGGGCUCCUCAGCUCAAGAUCUUAGCUCAUGACUCAGUUGGUGGUUUCUUGACUCACUCUGGGUG
rnacentral:misc_RNA from 1 species